rnacentral:rRNA from 1 species
CCUACGGGGGGCAGCAGUGGGGAAUAUUGGACAAUGGGGGCAACCCUGAUCCAGCCAUGCCGCGUGUGUGAAGAAGGCCCUCGGGUUGUAAAGCACUUUCAGUGAGGAAGAACGCCUGGUGGUUAAUACCCAUCAGGAAAGACAUCACUCACAGAAGAAGCACCGGCUAACUCCGUGCCAGCAGCCGCGGUAAUACGGAGGGUGCGAGCGUUAAUCGGAAUUACUGGGCGUAAAGCGCGCGUAGGUGGCUUGAUAAGCCGGUUGUGAAAGCCCCGGGCUCAACCGGGGAACGGCAUCCGGAACUGUCAAGCUAGAGUGCAGUAGAGGAAGGUAGAAUUCCCGGUGUAGCGGUGAAAUGCGUAGAGAUCGGGAGGAAUACCAGUGGCGAAGGCGGCCUUCUGGACUGACACUGACACUGAGGUGCGAAAGCGUGGGUAGCAAACAGGAUUAGAUACCCCGGUAGUC